AGAAGCGCCGCACCGCUCGCUCUGCCGUGCGGCGCGUCAAGAUUCAUAAAAGCACAUCUCGUCUCUUUAACAGCUCACGCCACUCUCCCGCAUGUGCCUUAUCCCCUUCCGUGUGGUACUCUCAGCCACUCAAUCUCUCUCCAAAACUACCAUGGGAAAACAAGGCGAUGAGUGUCGUGCGACGGGGGAAGCUGCCGCCGGGUAGGCCGCCGCCGCCGAGCACACGUCAGCAGGGGAGGACGCCGCCGAGCACGCGGCAGGGAGUCAUCCGCCGACGAGCCUCAGGCGAUGUAGGGUUCCACGUAGCAAGAGGUCGUGCCGCGGGGAGCCAACUCCGAGAACCUCGCCGGGGAAGAUGACGGUCGCACGCGCUGCCUCCGCUGGGAGCAACGACAUCGAGGAGGAAAGCCGCGCCGCGCUGGGAGCAACCGUGCCGCCGGUUGACCAAGCUAGGUCGCCUUGAGGGCGAGCACAACAUGGAGGGGCUGGCGGUGCGAGACCAUGCACUUGUGGAAGCUCAGAGCAGAAGUUUCAGGAUGUGGCAAUGGCGUCCAUUUGGUGGUGUGCACCCAAGAAGGAAAAUGGUGCUCGUGCGGUCUACACAAUGUCAGGGGAUUCGCCAUGGAGUCAUGGAGCGUUUUUGGUGUUCGCAUGUGGUUUUGCAUUUUUUUCCUGUUGGUUUUAUGAGAUUUAUUUUUGUGUCAAGAAAGAAGUUGUAAUUGUUGUGGCUGUGUCUGAUCUGGACUAGCCACAGGUUACGUUGUUUAUUCGUUCUAAAGUGUAGAGCCGGACCGGAUUGAGA